rnacentral:rRNA from 1 species
UACGUAGGGUGCAAGCGUUAAUCGGAAUUACUGGGCGUAAAGCGUGCGCAGGCGGUGAUGUAAGACAGGUGUGAAAUCCCCGGGCUUAACCUGGGAACUGCAUUUGUGACUGCAUCGCUGGAGUGCGGCAGAGGGGAUGGAAUUCCGCGUGUAGCAGUGAAAUGCGUAGAUAUGCGGAGGAACACCGAUGGCGAAGGCAAUCCCCUGGGCCUGCACUGACGCUGAGUGCGCGAAAGCCAGGGGAGCAAAGCGGG